GACGAACGCUGGCGGCGUGCUUAACACAUGCAAGUCGAGCGGUAAGGCCCUUUCGGGGGUACACGAGCGGCGAACGGGUGAGUAACACGUGGGUGACCUGCCCUCAGCUCUGGGAUAAGCCUGGGAAACUGGGUCUAAUACCGGAUAUGACUUCGCAUCGCAUGGUGUGGGGUGGAAAGUUUUCGGCUGGGGAGUGGCCCGCGGCCUAUCAGCUUGUUGGUGGGGUGAUGGCCUACCAAGGCGACGACGGGUAGCCGGCCUGAGAGGGCGACCGGCCACACUGGGACUGAGACACGGCCCAGACUCCUACGGGAGGCAGCAGUGGGGAAUAUUGCGCAAUGGGCGGAAGCCCGACGCAGCGACGCCGCGUGGGGAUGAC
rnacentral:rRNA from 1 species